rnacentral:rRNA from 1 species
UACGUAGGUGGCAAGCGUUGUCCGGAGUUAUUGGGCGUAAAGCGCGCGCAGGCGGUGCGGUAAGUCUCUGGUGAAAGCGCUCGGCUUAACUGGGCGAGGGCCGGGGAGACUGCCACGCUGGAGGGGAGCAGAGGCGAGUGGAAUCCGGGUGUAGUGGUGAAAUGCGUAGGAGAGUCCGGAGGAACACCAGUGGCGAAGGCGGCUCGCUGGGCUCUACCUGACGCUGAGGCGCGAAAGCGUGGGGAGCGAACCGG